GGAGAGGUAGCGAAGCCCGGUCGUAACGCGCUCGACUCGAAAUCGAGUUACGGACUCAUACUCCGUACGUGGGUUCAAAUCCCACCCUCUCCGCCA
rnacentral:tRNA from 1 species